rnacentral:rRNA from 1 species
AGCAGCCGCGGUAAUUCCAGCUCCAAUAGCGUAUAUUAAAGUUGUUGCAGUUAAAAAGCUCGUAGUUGAACUUCGGGAUCAAGGAAUCGGUCAUGCCUUGGUAUGUACUGGUUUUAUUGGUUCUCACCUUCUAAAGAACCAUAAUGUCAUUCAUUUGAUGUUAUGGGGAAUUAGGACUGUUACCUUAGAAAAAAUUAGAGUGUUUAAAGCAAGGCUUACGCUUGAAUACAUUAGCAUGGAAUAAUGAAAUAGGACGUUCGAUUCUAUUUUGUUGGUUUCUAGGAUCGACGUAAUGAUUAAUAGGGAUAGUUGGGGGCAUUAGUAUUCAAUUGUCAGAGGUGAAAUUCUUGGAUUUAUUGAAGACUA